AGGGUUCGAGUUCUGGCUCAGGACGAACGCUGGCGGCGUGCUUAACACAUGCAAGUCGAACGGACUAAUAUGGAAAAUCUUCGGAUCGGAAGUUUAGUUAGUGGCGAACGGGUGAGUAACGCGUGAGGAACCUGCCUUUCAGAGGGGGACAACAAAUUGGAAACGACUGCUAAUACCGCAUAACAUGUUAUCUUCGCAUGAAGGGAACAUCAAAGAUUUUAUCGCUGAAAAGAUGGCCUCGCGUCUGAUUAGAUAGUUGGUGUGGUAACGGCGCACCAAGUCGACGAUCAGUAGCCGGACUGAGAGGUUGAACGGCCACAUUGGGACUGAGAUACGGCCCAGACUCCUACGGGAGGCAGCAGUGGGGAAUAUUGGGCAAUGGGCGCAAGCCUGACCCAGCAAACGCCGCGUGAGGGAAGAAGGCUUUCGGGUUGUAAACUUCUUUUACCAGGGACGAAGGAUGUGACGGUACCUGGAGAAAAAGCCACGGCUAACUACGUGCCAGCCGCCGC
rnacentral:rRNA from 1 species